CAAAAUAAUCAUAACUUCAUUCUUAAGUUAUCCAGUCACAGAGAUUAUUUUCUUUUCUUAAGACUGUUAAUGAAUCCGGCCUUGGGUUUUCAGUGUUUGUUUACAUGAUGGGGUCUGUGUUUGUGACGUGUGCAGUCCAGACAGUCAGUGAUUCACAUGAUUCAGUGAUUUAGUCAGUAAUGGAUUCACAUAUUUCAGUGAUUCAGUCAGUAAUGGAUUCACAUGAUUCAGUGAUUCACUCAGUGUUAGAGUACAUUCACAUGAUUCAGUAAUUCAGUCAAUGUUAGAUUCACAUGAUUCAGUGAAUCUGUCAAAGUCAGAUUCACGAUUCAGUGAUUCAGUGUUUCAGUCAGUGUUACAGUACAUUCACAUGAUUCAGUGAUUCAGUCAGUCAGAUUCAUGAUUCAGUGAUUCACAUGAUUCAGUGUUUCAGUCAGUGUUACAGUACAUUCACAUGAUUCACUGGAUCAAUCAAAGUCAGAUUCACGAUUCAGUGAUUCACAUGAUUCAGUGACUCACUCAGUGUUAGAGUACAUUCACAUGAUUCAGUAAUUCAGUCAAAGUCAGAUUCACGAUUCAGCGAUUCACAUAAUUCAGUGACUCACUCAGUGUUAGAGUACAUUCACAUUAUUCAGUAAUUCAGUCAAAGUCAGAUUCACGAUUCAGUGAUUCACAUGAUUCAUCAGUGUUACAGUACAUUCACAUGAUUCACUGGAUCAAUCAAAGUCAGAUUCACGAUUCAGUGAUUCACAUGAUUCAGUGACUCACUCAGUGUUAGAGUACAUUCACAUGAUUCAGUAAUUCAGUCAAAGUCAGAUUCACGAUUCAGCGAUUCACAUAAUUCAGUGACUCACUCAGUGUUAGAGUACAUUCACAUGAUUCAGUAAUUCAGUCAAAGUCAGAUUCACGAUUCAGUGAUUCACAUGAUUCAGUGACUCACUCAGUGUUAGAGUACAUUCACAUGAUUCAGUAAUUCAGUCAAAUUCAGAUUCACGACUCAGUUAUUCAUAUCAGUGUUGGUGUUUAGAUGUGUUUAAUGUCUCAUUAGUUUGUGAACAGAAUCAGUAUAUUUGCUGUGAAUCACCAAUAUUGUCAAUGCUAAAACUUUUUCUCCAUGUGUUGUUUGUAGAAAAAACAUAGAUUUUUCAUGUUUACUGUAUUACAUCUAAAGUUCAAGAUUUUCACAGUUCACGACGACGCCAGCACAGAGAUGUAUAAAGUUUUGUGAAUAUGCGAUAUGAUUUUGUGAUCAUACACUGUGUUGAAGGCCUGUGAGAUGUACAGAUGAAUGAAUCGUUUUCACUGAUGAAACAGAUGACUGAUGCAUUCUUAAUCAUACGGCCAUAAAAGUACAAUAAGAGCCUGUUUUUACUUCACUGCUCUGUAAAUAACGUUUAUUAUCCACUGUUACGCUAGAUUGAAACAAUAACAGCAUGAGAAAACCUUGGGUCAAAGGUCAUGUUUACGUUGACAUUAUAGUUUUCAAAUAAAAGUUGUUUGUAAACUUC